rnacentral:rRNA from 1 species
AUGCACGCUGGCGGCGUGCCUAAUACAUGCAAGUCGAGUGAACAGAUGAGGAGCUUGCUCCUCUGACGUUAGCGGCGGACGGGUGAGUAACACGUGGAUAACCUACCUAUAAGACUGGGAUAACUUCGGGAAACCGGAGCUAAUACCGGAUAAUAUAUUGAACCGCAUGGUUCAAUAGUGAAAGACGGUUUUGCUGUCACUUAUAGAUGGAUCCGCGCCGCAUUAGCUAGUUGGUAAGGUAACGGCUUACCAAGGCAACGAUGCGUAGCCGACCUGAGAGGGUGAUCGGCCACACUGGAACUGAGACACGGUCCAGACUCCUACGGGAGGCAGCAGUAGGGAAUCUUCCGCAAUGGGCGAAAGCCUGACGGAGCAACGCCGCGUGAGUGAUGAAGGUCUUCGGAUCGUAAAACUCUGUUAUUAGGGAAGAACAAAUGUGUAAGUAACUAUGCACGUCUUGACGGUACCUAAUCAGAAAGCCACGGCUAACUACGUG